rnacentral:lncRNA from 1 species
GGUAAGGUCCCUCAGGCCAAGUCCAUCCAAGGCUCUCCCAGGUCGCUCAUCCCUGGCGAAUCCUACUCACAUUUGAAUGCGCAACCAUCGGGGAAAGGCAAAUAGUCAAUCCCAGGGGGCGAGUCCAAGCUAACAUUUUUGUCAAUUCGACCAGCAGCCUGAAAAAGGCUGCCUCGCCUAGUGACAUUCCUGCCAAAUCCAUAUGGUGUUUUUACGAGAACUAAGCUAGUCGCUGCAGGCCUAGGUUACCCAGCAUCUGGGGAAGGGGUGCGGGAAGCAGCAUCAAAGCUAGUAGCCGAAGUAAGGGCAUCAGAUCCUGUGCCAAUUGCCUAUGGGUUUGAACCAGUGAACGUAGCAGGGAGAGGGGAAGCUGCAAGCGCAAGGUUCCUUUCACCGGUGAAUGACCCUUUGAUUUGUAAUGGAGUAAUACGUUACCCUCGAGAUGCAGUAGAUUGAUAUUGAGACUCCGCGGUUAGGGACCAAGUUGCGGAUCCAAAUAUAGUGCCUACAAAGGCAGAGCCAAAGGCGUAUCCACCCGUACUAGGUGAGAAAGAGUUGGAAAUAAAGAUGCACUCCCUGGUUCGGGAGGCAGGGGCGCGCUAGCACAUCGCAUUAUCAUCGCUAGACUUGGGUCAGCACAAAAAGCACCCUUUAUUUGAGGUAGCUAGCUUCACCCGUCGAUUCGGUUGACCGAGCCAAUAACCUUGUUGCUUGUGAACCAGUUUCACUAGUUCUGGCUUUCAAUUACAGAGCCUGUUGAAGCACCCAUUCCCAUGAAGAUGCUGGGGGUUAAACUGUUUUUACCUGUAAUCCGUUUCAGUCGAACCAGUAAAUGCGCCAGCUGCAGUACUAGUCGCUUCAUAUCCAUUUCCAGUCCAUCUCGCUUUCAAGUUGAGAAGUAAAGGCUAGUGGGUUAAUCCGUGGGCACUAACUAUUGAUCGAGCUCUUAUUCGAAUUUGAAGGUCUCGGGGAACAACGAGGGGAUGGAUGAAAUGACACCAAGGUAGGUUCUCCCUUUUUGGUAUUUGGUCGUCAAUUCAUUCGCAAUGCCGGCACAGGAUCCCGGCUUUAUUUUAUUGGUCUUGAAUAAGUUCAUCCACCCUUUAUCGGUGAGCGGUCGAGAAUACCUUCUUUGAUUCAUGGCUGAUGGUUCCGUUUUUUCGGGCAUGGUUGCUUGCUUGUCUUACUUGUCUGACUUCUACUUCUACUUAUGACUGACUUAACUUAUCUGACUAAAGUCUUUAUUAAGGUGUGCUUAAUGGUCUAAGUCUUUGAUAUUAGUCCUUAUGGGGAGGGAGUUCUUAUCACUAUCAUUAAAGGAAGGUUCAUUAGUUCUUAUUUAUUUAUAAUAUAGCCCUACACAGGGUCUACAACCCUGGUUAGUCCAAGCCGUCCCUACAUAAAGGACAGCGUCACGUCAAGGUCUAUCGGACAGCUUGCUUCCAGAGUUAUUACACAGUGUUAUGGGUGUUCUUUCUCUUUCUUGCUUGUUGGGACGGACAAGGCCAAAUGGUAAUGGGGACUCCCCUAACAGUUUUGCUGAGAUUAAUGUUGUUCACAACCUUGAUAUUCUUCCGGGGAAUCGUGAUAAAGUGCAGAAAUCAGGUGCCAAUAAGUUUGCUGUCCUGGAAAGCUUAGAAGAGGAGGAUAAUGGGGGGGGGGUAAAAAUUGCGGUUCUGGGUUGCUUGAUCCAAUUACUGCAACUGAGAUUCCAGUUUCUAGUCCUGAAAAUAAAGUUGAGGAGGAAAGUGCUGCUGUUAGAUUGUUGGACAGCAUUUGAUCUCUUCUCGGUCUGGGCAGUCCCAAGGUGAUCUUGUUGGGUCUCUUUCUUAUCCCAGCUCUAGGCAGACCCAUGUAAACUCUGGGACUGUUCUUGCUGAACCUUUGGUGGUGAAUGCUGUGGAUGAAAGGUUGUCGGCCAGCAAGAUAUCUUAAAGUUAUGGGCGGACCCUUGGGUCAUUCUUGGUCUAUUUCUGAUCAAGCUGAACUUUGUUGGAAGGGAGUGAGAACCUCUUUGAUGCUGAGGUUGCGGCUCAUCGAGAACAGUCUCUAGUGUGCAGGGAGACCAUAGCUGAGGUUGGGCUUGAUCCUAAACCUGUUACUAUCCUAGGUAGAAGUGAAAAGACUAAGGGAGAUGCAGAUUAAAGCAUUGCUGAUUCAGAUUCAGAGGAGAUUACUGAAAUUGUGGGGACAAAUUUCAUGACAGGCCCUGUUAUUGAUCUCCAACAUUCUGGUCAUGCAGCAUCGGGUUCCAUGACUGGAAGAGCAGGUAAGAUGAGUGAGAAGCAGCCGCAACCCUCUAGGACAGUUAGAAAACGAGGAAGACCGAGGAAGCUCGGGAAUGGGGCUCCCCUGCAACCUAAUUCCUUCCUUCUCACCUGAGUCUUAAUCUCAAAGAAAGGGAAUUGGCCCUGAUACGGCUUCGAAGACUGUUAGGCAUGGACUGCUAGCGGACUGGAAAGAAGGACUUGUUACAUCCUCAAAAGAUUUAUAAGUACCUCACUUAAAAAAUAGAGAAAAGUCAAGACAAGAAGAAAGUAUCUCCGAUUCCUUUCGGAGAGAAACCGGUCAGGUUUACUUUCGACGUCGUGUCAUCUCGUAUUUGGUCUAGAUCUUAUCAAUGGUUAGAUAAGAUUGAAAGAAAACUCUGGAAGAGUGCUCUGGUCUUGCUAUGGCUCUGGCGCCGAAAGGCCCCUCGAGUCCUCUGGUAGGAUAGAGUAAUAAGACUGUAAGCGCAUCUGAGCGCCUUUUUCCCGCGACAAUAUAUGGACACUCAGGUAAGUUCCAUAGCAACAUAGCAACAUGGAUUAGGAUGACUCUUCGGAAGACUAAGCCCCGUAGGAAUACUAGCAAAUCCAAUGUGACAUGUAUUAGAGGGCAAGGGCUAUCUUUACUCUUUAGCCUGAGAGGGAGAAGGCUUCCCCCCCCUGACUAUUUCUUUUAUGGAACCUCGCAUUCAACCUCCUCGGACAUUAACAUUGAUCUAGUUUAGGCAGCUUUCAGUCCUGGGAAAGGAAGGUAAGGUGAAAUCCCGUUCGUAGAUUAAGAAAUUAAGUAUGUCAGCUCCUUUAGCCCAUCAACAGCGGCGAUAACAUAAGACAGGGAAGGCAUAUCCGAAAGUCCCCCAUCUCGCUUGAGAACGAUGCCCUUUUUUCCCAAGCGAUUCUCUUGUGUGCGUGGAUAUCCUUACUUUCGAUGCCAUAUUCUUAUACGAUGCAUGCCUCCUCUUCCGGAUAGCGUCAUUCUCUGCAUCCCGGCCCUCCACCUAUCCCUUCCUUCUUCUAAUAACAGACAGCGAAAGACGCUAGGCAAACUCUUUUUAUUAAAACCUUUCCUUCUCCCAGCCUACCGCCCUCUCCAAUGCUCUCUUCGCUGGUUGCUUCCCUGCCCGGUUUGAUAAGAAUCUUCUCCCCGUUCUCAUUUCCACCGCCCCCUCUAAGCCCUUUAACACCAUUCGUCCGUCUUCCCUAAAUUCCGAGCUAUCCAUAAUCUAGGUUUUUUUUAAACAAGCCAAGAUUUAUCGCUAAAUUUUUGUCUUCGUUCUUCCCUACCUAUCUGACUAGGUAAGAGCUUUCUUGCUGUGAAAUUAGUUGAUUGGACGGCUACUAUAUAUAAGAGUAGAUACUAGACCUUCGAGCGACGUCGAAAGGUGGGUUUAGUUAAUCCUCAAAAGAAAGUUGUUAAGCUUUCGGUUUCCAGGAAACUCAGAAAUGGCAGAGCAUUCUUUAGUUGCGGAGGGAGCGAGCCCUGCAUCUAUAAGUUGGCCGUAUUACCUUACCGCAGCAUGCUUGUCCUGCGGGUACUGCCCGGGGUCUUACUAAAAAAAAAGACCUCUACGACAGCCAAAAGGAAGUUGAUCAGACCGGGAACAAGCGAGCAAAAUGGGUCUAUACAAUCAAUUUGACCGGUACAUUGCUGACCAUAAGUCGGCAUGAUUUAGUUCUCCUGCAGAUUCCAGACAGAACGACCUGUACCACAACCACUGGCAUAUGCGGUAUGCGGGUGUCAGGUUUAGGUCUAGAUGGAGGUUCUCGUUCCAGUUCUAGUUCGCUUCGGUGCUAUAUUGGUUAUGCCCUUAUAUAGCCCUGUGCUAACGCACAGUGCUUCUUUCUACUACGUCAUCAAAGGCCGUACAGACUGGUCUAAUUUAAAUCAUUUCCAUUUUCCAGAAGAUUUCAGCGACUGCCUUCUUAGUAUCUUCCCAGGCUUUCAGCGCAGCUUGCUCAGAUUCUUCGAUCCUGGCCUUCUGCUCCUCUAAGUUGGUGUCUUUCAGGCUCUGAAGCUCGGCAUGGAGUGGCUCUAACUCGGUCAUUAAGGAGUCAUAGUCCCGAGUGACAUCACUCUGCCUCUUCUCAACGGCUGCCAACUGUUCCUGGAACUUCAUAAUUUGGCUUUUUCAAAUCCUCAACCUCGGCCUCCAUCGAGUCUAGAUCAUUCUCUAUCUUCUCACAUACCGCAACGGACUCCCUGGCCUUGGUUGACUGCUGAAGGAAGGUUUGGAUCUUAGAAUCCAUUUCAUUUUUGCUUUCCGCCGCACUAAGUACCUGCCCCACUAUCAUCUUAAUCUCCUCUUCGAGUGCCAACAUCCUAGCCUUCUCCCCUGCUGAGAUUCCCUGCUCAUCAGCUAAAUUCUUAAUAAUCUGAAGAGGAUCCUUCAGCGCCUCCAAGCUUCUAUUCCCUAUGUCAAUAAUCGCGAAAAAGAAAGAAGUUGACUACAGGAAAAACUACAUUACAAGCUCUCUAUUCCGUCUAGUCUGAUAUUCCGUAACCAGUCCAUUUCUUAUGUCUUUCUAAGCGAGGGGCCGGGUUUCCUUUCGGAGGACCAUUACCGAUAGUAGUCCUAUGCUUCUUUCUAGCUUGGCGCAUUUGCUUUCCUUGAGUUUUGGCUAGUUAUCAGUCUUCCCGCCUUGUCAGCUUUCCAGUCCUAGUAGGGCUUUUUCAAACUCCCCCAGUGGCCCCUAAGGGAAUCAAUCGUAAGCAUUCCAUCUAGUCUCUUAGCU